rnacentral:misc_RNA from 1 species
GAGUUCCUGCCCCCUGGGUAGAUCUCCCACCCUUGCUUAUCAUACCAUUGUUGCUUUGGCAGGCCGUCUCUGUGAGCCACUGGCCCCCCGCGGCGAGUGCGUGCCUGCCAGAGAACCACAAACUCCGCAUCAUAGUUAUCGUCUGAGUCUGAUAUAAAUAUCUAAAACUUUCAACAACGGAUCUCUUGGUUCU